rnacentral:lncRNA from 1 species
AACAAUCUAGGAAAUCAAUUACAAUGAAAGAAUAAUGAAAAUAAAACAUGUACACCCUUUUCUCUCGAAUUGGAUGAACAGCUUCAAAUCUGGAUCUACACGUUGAUUAAUCUCCCAAACUGCAUCUUGAAUUGCUCCACUACUGUUUUGCACUCGGAACCUUGUGAUUCCGGGAUUCUUACUCACUGCAACUCUCUCUUGCACUCAAUACUGUACAGAAACCGAACCAACCUCCAGGGCUCUAUGUCACU